UCUACAAUAAGCGUUAUCUAUUGAUAUGCGGAAGCAUAGAUAGCGCUUGUUUAAAAGCGCGCAAUCUAUGUCUAUGAUAAUAGAUAACGCUUGUUUGGAAAAGCGUUAUCUAUAUAUAUUUAAUAUUUUUUUUUAAUUAAUAUUUUAAAAUAUAUUCAUGAUAACCAAAUAGAUAGCGCUCUUUAUAGUAAGCGCUAUCUAUAGUGAUUAAAAUACUCUCGUUCCCGCUACUACUCUGCUUGCAAUUUGACGUUCUCCAAGCUUCCUCUCGCGCUCUGCUACUCGCUUUCACUGGCGUUGCUUCUUCGCGCUGUUCCUUGGUUUGAUUCGCGCUUCUCCUCCGUUUGAUCAGUGGCUAGGACUCCUGUCCUUCGUUUCAUCAACGUUAGGCUCCUUCUCCUCCGUUCACAGUACUUUAGGGCUCCUUCUCCUCCGUUCACAGUGCGUUAAGGCUCCAUCCCUUCCCUUUCAUCAGCGCGUUAGGUGCCUUUGGCGGUUCUCCUUCAAUUUGAGGUGUACGUCUUUGCUCGCUCCUUCAGUGCACU
rnacentral:lncRNA from 1 species